GAUGAACGCUAGCUACAGGCUUAACACAUGCAAGUCGAGGGGCAGCAUGAACUUAGCUUGCUAAGUUUGAUGGCGACCGGCGCACGGGUGAGUAACACGUAUCCAACCUGCCGAUGACUCGGGGAUAGCCUUUCGAAAGAAAGAUUAAUACCCGAUGGCAUAGUUCUUCCGCAUGGUAGAACUAUUAAAGAAUUUCGGUCAUCGAUGGGGAUGCGUUCCAUUAGGUUGUUGGCGGGGUAACGGCCCACCAAGCCUUCGAUGGAUAGGGGUUCUGAGAGGAAGGUCCCCCACAUUGGAACUGAGACACGGUCCAAACUCCUACGGGAGGCAGCAGUGAGGAAUAUUGGUCAAUGGACGAGAGUCUGAACCAGCCAAGUAGCGUGAAGGAGGACUGCCCUAUGGGUGGUAAACUUCUUUUAUACGGGAAUAAAGUGAGGCACGUGUGCCUUUUUGUAUGUACCGUAUGAAUAAGGAUCGGCUAACUCCGUG
rnacentral:rRNA from 1 species